rnacentral:rRNA from 1 species
GACGUACGCCGGCGGCGUGCCUAAUACAUGCAAGUAAAACGCUGAAGGAGGAGCUUGCUCUUCUGGAUGAGUUGCGAACGGGUGAGUAACGCGUAGGUAACCUGCCUGGUAGCGGGGGAUAACUAUUGGAAACGAUAGCUAAUACCGCAUAAGAGUAGAUGUCGCAUGACAUUUGCUUAAAAGGUGCAAUUGCAUCACUACCAGAUGGACCUGCGUUGUAUUAGCUAGUUGGUGAGGUAACGGCUCACCAAGGCAACGAUACAUAGCCGACCUGAGAGGGUGAUCGGCCACACUGGGACUGAGACACGGCCCAGACUCCUACGGGAGGCAGCAGUAGGGAAUCUUCGGCAAUGGACGGAAGUCUGACCGAGCAACGCCGCGUGAGUGAAGAAGGCUUUCGGAUCGUAAAGCUCUGUUGUAAGAGAAGAACGAGUGUGAGAGUGGAAAGUUCACACUGUGACGGUAUCUUACCAGAAAGGGACGGCUAACUACGUGCCAGCAGCCGCGGUAAUACGUAGGUCCCGAGCGUUGUCCGGAUUUAUUGGGCGUAAAGCGAGCGCAGGCGGUUAGAUAAGUCUGAAGUUAAAGGCUGUGGCUUAACCAUAGUACGCUUUGGAAACUAUUUAACUUGAGUGCAAGGGGGGAGAGUGGAAUUCCAUGUGUAGCGGUGAAAUGCGUAGAUAUAUGGAGGAACGCCGGUGGCGAAAGCGGCUCUCUGGCUUGUAACUGACGCUGAGGCUCGAAAGCGUGGGGAGCAAACAGG